GCUUAACACAUGCAAGUCGAGCGGGCGAGGUUGCUUCGGUAACUGAGCUAGCGGCGGACGGGUGAGUAAAGCUUAGGAAUCUGCCUAUUAGUGGGGGACAACAUUCCGAAAGGGAUGCUAAUACCGCAUACGUCCUACGGGAGAAAGCAGGGGAUCACUUGUGACCUUGCGCUAAUAGAUGAGCCUAAGUCGGAUUAGCUAGUUGGUGGGGUAAAGGCCUACCAAGGCGACGAUCUGUAGCGGGUCUGAGAGGAUGAUCCGCCACACUGGGACUGAGACACGGCCCAGACUCCUACGGGAGGCAGCAGUGGGGAAUAUUGGACAAUGGGGGGAACCCUGAUCCAGCCAUGCCGCGUGUGUGAAGAAGGCCUUUUGGUUGUAAAGCACUUUAAGCGAGGAGGAGGCUUACCUGGUUAAUACCUGGGCUAAGUGGACGUUACUCGCAGAAUAAGCACCGGCUAACUCUGUGCCAGCAGCCGCGGUAAUACAGAGGGUGCGAGCGUUAAUCGGAUUUACUGGGCGUAAAGCGCGCGUAGGUGGUUAAUUAAGUCAAAUGUGAAAUCCCCGAGCUUAACUUGGGAAUUGCAUUCGAUACUGGUUAGCUAGAGUAUGGGAGAGGAUGGUAGAAUUCCAGGUGUAGCGGUGAAAUGCGUAGAGAUCUGGAGGAAUACCGAUGGCGAAGGCAGCCAUCUGGCCUAAUACUGACACUGAGGUGCGAAAGCAUGGGGAGCAAACAGGAUUAGAUACCCUGGUAGUCCAUGCCGUAAACGAUAUCUACUAGCCGUUGGGGGAUUUGAUCCUUUAGUGGCGCAGCUAACGCGAUAAGUAGACCGCCUGGGGAGUACGGUCGCAAGACUAAAACUCAAAUGAAUUGACGGGGGCCCGCACAAGCGGUGGAGCAUGUGGUUUAAUUCGAUGCAACGCGAAGAACCUUACCUGGGCCUUGACAUAGUAGAGACUUCCAGAGAUGGAUUGGUGCUUCGGGAAUCU
rnacentral:rRNA from 1 species